CAGCGGGCCGCCGACAGCUGACGGCGCACAGCAGCUCCGCUCCCCGGCCGCUCAGCGCUCGCUCCGCACGCGCAGGGUCUGAACGCCACUUGACCUGUACCUUCCCCCUUCAGAUCGUCUUCCUCUCGGACUCUUUCGCCUUCCAGUUUACAUUGGCAGACUCCAGCAACAUGUUGGACGCGCAGUCGCAGCUGAAGGCGCACGCGCAAACGGCGCGCAGCUGGUGGCGGCGUUCCACGCAUGCGCGGAAUCCGGGGGCGCAUGCGCGUGGCGGCGCUGUCAGCGGCAGCUGGUGGCGCGUCUGGAGGCUGGCCGACGCGCUGCUUCACAACGGCUGCUGACUUCUCAGCAGUCAGCAGCCAGCCACCGCAGCCGCCACAGUCUCAGGGCAACCUGUCAGCUCCGCGCCUCCCUCAGCUAAAUAGCCACUCUUCCUACUUUCUCUCCUCGCCAGCGUCGCGAAUAUCGCCGCUGGCUAGACGGAAACGUACCGUAGUCCGGGAAGUCCAGUCCACUUUCAUCCUUUGUUACCGACACAGUUCUGCCUUUCAACAUUGUACUGCUCUCGGAUUACACUCCGAGAGAAACUGGAGAUUAUUGACAAAUAAGUAUUCAUAGGACAUUAGCUUGAACAGGCUGCGAUUAAAACGGUAUACUCUCUCAUAGUUCAGUUCAUAGAGAGAGAGACACUAAACUAUUUGCCUCUAAGGCAGUAAUAUCACUCUAAUUAAAUAACUUGAAUGAAAUCAAAUUUUAAAAUAUAGCUCUCCUGUUAGCUAUAACUAAAUUGCCGAUUAGUCAAAGGUAAAAGAAUGCCAUAACUAAUUCUUCCAUAUAGUUUUGUCGAGAGUUACGAAAGGCCUCGUGGAAGUUUUUAGAAAAAAGUAUUUCAUUCUUUUUCGUAUUCACUAUUGUCGGCCUUUCGCAGUGAGUUUUCUUAGUAGUAUAAUUUUUUGAAAAGAGAGAAAGAAUUCACUUGUUCCAGAGGGCAAUACUUGAAACAUUGUGAUAGAUUUAUUGUAAUAUAUACAGCAGAUCUAUAUGUACAUAAUACAGAUGUUAGAUUAUUUUAGCUUUUUAAAAUUAGCACAUUGUAAUGUUAUAUAAUAUUGUACGUUAUUAUGUAAUGAAGUUUGAUUAACAUUAAAACAUUAUUUCUUUUCAGUA